AUGUAUCCUGGCUGCACGUAGACUAAAAUUGGGAUGAUACAGAGAAGAUGAGCGUGGCCCCUGCGCAAGGAGCUCACUCUCUGGAUUCCAGGAGGCAGCAAAUUUCU
ensembl:snRNA U6 U6 spliceosomal RNA